rnacentral:rRNA from 1 species
GACGAACGCUGGCGGCGUGGAUUAGGCAUGCAAGUCGAACGGUAGGAUACCUUCGGGUAUCUGAGAGUGGCGAACGGGUGAGUAACACGUAGGUGAUCUACCCUCAAGAUUGGGACAACCCAGGGAAACUUGGGCUAAUACCGGAUGAAAGCAGCAGUGAUGUUGUUUGAAAGGUGGCGUAAGCUGCCGUUUGGGGAUGAGCCUGCGCUCUAUUAGUUAGUUGGCGGGGUAAAGGCCCACCAAGGCGAUGAUAGAUAGGCGGCCUUAACGGGUGGUCGCCCACACUGGGAUUGAGAUACGGCCCAGACUCCUACGGGAGGCAGCAGUCGAGAAUAGUCUACAAUGGCCGAAAGGCUGGAUAGUGCGACGCCGCGUGAACGAAGAAGCCCUUCGGGGUGUAAAGUUCUUUUAUAUGUGAGCAGUGCUUUCUAUGUGAACAGCAUGGGGAGAGAGAUAUUAGCAUAUGAAUAAGCAACGGCUAACUCCGUGCCAGCACG